GACGAACGCUGGCGGCGUGCUUAACACAUGCAAGUCGAGCGGUAAGGCCCUUUCGGGGGUACACGAGCGGCGAACGGGUGAGUAACACGUGGGUGACCUGCCCUCAGCUCUGGGAUAAGCCUGGGAAACUGGGUCUAAUACUGGAUAUGACUCCACGGUGCAUGUCGUGGGGUGGAAAGCCUUGUGCGGCUGAGGAUGGGCCCGCGGCCUAUCAGCUUGUUGGUGGGGUGANGGCCUACCAAGGCGACGACGGGUAGCCGGCCUGAGAGGGCGACCGGCCACACUGGGACUGAGACACGGGCCCAGACUCCUACGGGAGGCAGCAGGUGGGGAAUCUUGCGCAAUGGGCGAAAGCCUGACGCAGCGACGCCGCGUGAGGGAUGACGGCCU
rnacentral:rRNA from 1 species